GCUGCAGCUACUCAGUGUUGCCUGCACCGAUUCAGGUCGGGGUCUUUUCAAUCGAAAGUACUCGCAUAUUAUGAGCGAUCAAGAUUAACAUAAAAAUUGGCCGGACUUCUUCUUUAAGCAAUGUAACUCUAUUUGCUUUUUUC